rnacentral:rRNA from 1 species
GACGAACGCUGGCGGCGUGCUUAACACAUGCAAGUCGAACGGUGAUGCUCCAGCUUGCUGGAGUGGAUCAGUGGCGAACGGGUGAGUAACACGUGAGCAACCUGCCCCAGACUCUGGAAUAAGCGCUGGAAACGGCGUCUAAUACUGGAUACGAAACUGGCCCGCAUGGGCAUGGUUUGGAAAGUUUUUCGGUUUGGGAUGGGCUCGCGGCCUAUCAGCUUGUUGGUGAGGUAAUGGCUCACCAAGGCGACGACGGGUAGCCGGCCUGAGAGGGCGACCGGCCACACUGGGACUGAGACACGGCCCAGACUCCUACGGGAGGCAGCAGUGGGGAAUAUUGCACAAUGGGCGAAAGCCUGAUGCAGCGACGCCGCGUGAGGGAUGACGGCCUUCGGGUUGUAAACCUCUUUCAGCAGGGAAGAAGCGAAAGUGACGGUACCUGCAGAAGAAGCACCGGCUAGCUACGUG